rnacentral:lncRNA from 1 species
GACAUCGCGAUAUCUACAAUGUUAACACGAUAUAGUGUCAACAUUGUUUACAUUGUUUGAACCCUUAUAUAAUGUAUACAUCGUUGACAUCGCGAUGUAUACAAUGUUAAAACGAUGUUGUGUUAACAUCGUUUACAUUGUUUGAACCCUUAUAUAUUGUUUACAUCGUUGACAUCGUUAACAUUGGGAUGUAUACAAUGUAAACACGAUGUCGUGUCAACAACGUUGACAUUGUUUGAACUCUUAUAUAUUGUUUACAUCGUUGACUUCGUUAACAUCGCCAUGUUUACAAUGUUAACACGAUGUCGUGUCAACAUCGUUUACAUUGAUUGA